rnacentral:rRNA from 1 species
ACGAACGCUGGCGGCGUGCUUAACACAUGCAGGUCGAACGGAAAGGCCCUGCUUUUGUGGGGUGCUCGAGUGGCGAACGGGUGAGUAACACGUGAGUAACCUGCCCUUGACUUUGGGAUAACUUCAGGAAACUGGGGCUAAUACCGGAUAGGAGCUCCUGCUGCAUGGUGGGGGUUGGAAAGUUUCGGCGGUUGGGGAUGGACUCGCGGCUUAUCAGCUUGUUGGUGGGGUAGUGGCUUACCAAGGCUUUGACGGGUAGCCGGCCUGAGAGGGUGACCGGCCACAUUGGGACUGAGAUACGGCCCAGACUCCUACGGGAGGCAGCAGUGGGGAAUAUUGCACAAUGGGCGGAAGCCUAAUGCAGCAACGCCGCGUGCGGGAUGACGGCCUUCGGGUUGUAAACCGCUUUCGCCUGUGACGAAGCGUGAGUGACGGUAAUGGGUAAAGAAGCACCGGCUAACUACGUG